rnacentral:rRNA from 1 species
GUGGGGAAUAUUGGACAAUGGGGGGAACCCUGAUCCAGCCAUGCCGCGUGUGUGAAGAAGGUCUUCGGAUUGUAAAGCACUUUAAGUUGGGAGGAAGGGCAGUAAGUUAAUACCUUGCUGUUUUGACGUUACCGACAGAAUAAGCACCGGCUAACUUCGUGCCAGCAGCCGCGGUAAUACGAAGGGUGCAAGCGUUAAUCGGAAUUACUGGGCGUAAAGCGCGCGUAGGUGGUUUUGUAAGUUGGAGGUGAAAUCCCCGGGCUCAACCUGGGAACUGCCUCCAAAACUGCAUGACUAGAGUACGGUAGAGGGUAGUGGAAUUUCCUGUGUAGCGGUGAAAUGCGUAGAUAUAGGAAGGAACACCAGUGGCGAAGGCGACUACCUGGACUGAUACUGACACUGAGGUGCGAAAGCGUGGGGAGCAAACAGGAUUAGAAACCCGGGUAGUCC